GCAAGGUGUGGUUUUUAUCAACUCCCAUCUGAUCAGUUGGUAUGUGGGGGGCAGUGGCUGAAAGGUGCAUAAAUGUGGGAUGGACGGUGGUCAAGGGAGAACCGGGGGAGAGCAACCUGGGGGGAGCAACCUGGGAAAAGAACCUGGAAGGAGCACCUGGGGACUGGAUCAGAAGUGACCGGGCAAGAUGUGAGACAGACCAGAGAGAAGAGGCCAUGGCUAGAGAAAAGGAACGAGACCACCAUGUUCUUUGUUUAUCGACAAUGUAUUAGAGCGAACUGCCUUUCAACAUAAUCGACUCUGACCCAAAGCUGCAUGGAGAGAGAGAGAUGGCUGUGAGUGGAGGAUGGUGAAGAGUAACAUCAUGUGACUGUGUGAAUUAAAUAGGAAUUACCCAGAAUUUGCCUAUGGUUUGACGCAGCGAAUUUGAAAAAUGCACUGCCUUCCAUAACAUUUGAACUACAAGGGGGAUUUGCAUAAAGAACUGCCAGCUAUGGGAUGUCAACAUAUAAUGUGACUGACAUUGGACUUUAAGCAGCAUUUGACAGCUCUUGUGUUCAGGAGCAAUGUUCGUUGUCACUGCUCCUAAUCUAACUUCAAUUUGAGAUUUCUUUGCAAAUGCUCGGCGCUAGUGCUGAAUUGCUCUGGGACUAGAAUUUAAACAAG